rnacentral:lncRNA from 1 species
GCGGGGCUGUGCUGGAGGUCGUGGUGCCGCUCAGGGAGCCCACGCCUGGGCGUGAAGCCGCAGCUCAGCGCGUUCCAAGAGCGUUUUAACGCGCCGAAGGCAGUAAACGCGUUCAGAGCGGUGGGGAAGAGGACCGAUAUAUCCAGUGCCAGACACUGUUAAGCUUUUUUUUUUUUUUUUUUUGUAGUAUGGCAUUUAUUUAUCACGGUUACUUUGGGAUGUAAUUAUCCUCGUACUGCUUACAGAGAAGUGUGAAGCUGCUUCAAAUCACACAGCUAGUAAGUGGAGGAGCUGGUGUUCAAACGCAGUGCCGUUUUACCUGAAUUUCACUAGUUUUGGAACAUAGUACUUUGCCUAAAAGAGUUAGUGUUCUUGAGUAAAUACUAAGUGAACUUCAACUUGUGAUCAUUGUUACUGAGAGAACUCUUGGUGUCUCUGCAGGAAGACUGUGUGAUUGAACCUGUGGAUCCCUGUCGCGUAUUUCUGCCUGAUUCAUUUUCCAGCGACCCUGGUUAAAAUCUACAAAAAGCCACCCUAGGGCCACAGGAUGGAGAGAGAAGAAUCAAUUUUUGUCUCUUCUAUCCAGUGAGAGGAGAGUUUGACUCACCGCAUUACAUGAACCAUCAAGAACUGUGUCCAUGGAAGUGUGGUCCCAAAUGUUUGAGGAGAAAGCUCUCCUGUGUACCUUAUUGCAAGGAACA